rnacentral:rRNA from 1 species
CGCGUAGGCGGUCUGGUCAGUCGGAUGUGAAAGCCCUGGGCUCAACCUGGGAAUUGCAUUCGAUACUGCCAAACUAGAAUGUGGAAGAGGGAAGUGGAAUUUCCGGUGUAGCGGUGAAAUGCGUAGAUAUCGGAAGGAACACCAGUGGCGAAGGCGGCUUCCUGGUCCAACAUUGACGCUGAGGUGCGAAAGCGUGGGGAGCGAACAGGAUUAGAUACCCUGGUAGUCC